AUUGAACGCUGGCGGCAGGCCUAACACAUGCAAGUCGAACGAGUGGCGGACGGGUGAGAAAUGUCUGGGAAACUGCCCGAUGGAGGGGGAUAACUACUGUAAACGUUAGCUAAUACCGCAUACCAUCGGAUGUGCCCAGAUGGGAUUAGUUAGUAGGUGGGGUAAAGGCUCACCUAGGCCACGACCCCUAGCUGGUCUGAGAGGAUGACCAGCGGACCUGUACCUGAGACACGGUCCGGGCUCUUACGGUAGGCAGCAGUGGGGAAUAGUGCGCAGUGGGCGCAGGCCUGAUGCAGCCAUGCCGCUUGUAUGAAGAAGUCUUUCGGGUUGUAAAGUACUUUCAGCGGGGAGGCGUUACCCGCAGAAGAAGCGCCGGCUAACUCCGUGCCAGCAGCCGCGGUAAUAC
rnacentral:rRNA from 1 species